UACGUAGGGAGCAAGCGUUGUCCGGAAUCAUUGGGCGUAAAGCGCGCGUAGGUGGUCCUGUAAGUCCGUUGUGAAAGUCAAAGGCUCAACCUUUGAAAGCCGAUGGAUACUGCAGGGCUAGAGUACGGAAGAGGCGAGUGGAAUUCCUGGUGUAGCGGUGGAAUGCGCAGAUAUCAGGAGGAACACCGGUGGCGAAGGCGGUGAUCUGGGCCGACACUGACGCUGUAGAGCGAAAGCGUGGGGAGCGAACAGG
rnacentral:rRNA from 1 species